UGGGGAAUAUUGCACAAUGGGGGAAACCCUGAUGCAGCAACGCCGCGUGAGCGAUGAAGGUCUUCGGAUCGUAAAGCUCUGUCUUUAGGGAUGAUAAUGACAGUACCUAAGGAGGAAGCCACGGCUAACUACGUGCCAGCAGCCGCGGUAAUACGUAGGUGGCAAGCGUUAUCCGGAAUUAUUGGGCGUAAAGGGAGCGUAGGCGGAUAUUUAAGUGGGAUGUGAAAUACCUGAGCUCAACUCGGGUGCUGCAUUCCAAACUGGAUAUCUAGAGUGCAGGAGAGGAGAGUGGAAUUCCUAGUGUAGCGGUGAAAUGCGUAGAGAUUAGGAAGAACACCAGUGGCGAAGGCGACUCUCUGGACUGUAACUGACGCUGAGGCUCGAAAGCGUGGGGAGCGAACA
rnacentral:rRNA from 1 species